AAUCUUUCUGCCUCUUUCUUACACAUAUAAUAUAUAUGUAGUUACGUAUGCAUAGGAAUUUUCAUAGAAAAUCAUUAAAUUCUCUCUUAUUAGUCCUCAAAAAGGACUAAGAUGAUGUUUAAUCGGUGGAAUGAGAGGAAAAUUUGAAUGGCAAUUCUAGUAGAAUCUCCAUUCCAUUGUCCGAUUGGAUAAAAAUAUUGUUGGAAUUAGGAUUCUAUUCCCCUCUCCAUUCCACUAUUUUGAUGGAUAAUUUUUUAAACCAAGCUCUUAAAAGUAAUACAAAAACUAAUAAUAAAAACCUUGGUAAAAACCAUUUUGGAUAAAAGAAUGACUCUAUACAGCCUAUACAGUCAUUACAUAUAUAGAGUUAAAUUAUUACAGUGCAGAAGAAGAGUCUGGUAAGAAUCAAUCACUUCCUGUUGUGGGACAUAGAUUAUAGAACCAUCUGCUAGUUUCCAAUCUAUUACCCUAAAAAAAAUAAAAACAAAAUCUGCUAGUUUCCAAUCAUAUUUCCCAAGCAUACUGUCAAGCUGCUAUUAUGGAUAACAUAGUUGCACAAAGGCACUUCUAUAUGUACGAAGUUAUUUUCACAAUUUGAAACACAACUCCACACAGCCCAUCUAAAUUACAUUUACAUCUUAUUCCCUAUUUCACAUUUUGAAACCCUCGUCUCUUUCCUCAAUUACCAACAAUCGACCACCGCAAGCAACCGUCAGUCAUCGAUUUUCGACAAAAUCCGGCAUCGGCCUCCAUCAGUGGACAGCGGUCAUGACUUUUAAUGGGAAGCAAUCUCAUGAAGGGCCUGCAUUUGAGUAGCAGUUAAAAUGGAACACUCAUUUGAGCAAGAUAUGUACAAAGCCUCGGCCUCGAACCUUCACCUGGCCAAGAGGCAAUAAUUAAUGUCGAUCUCAUUGCCGUUGACACCAAUUUGAUACCCAUUGUACAAGCUUGUGUGCUAAAUAGAUCAUUUUUUGGUUGUUGUCGAAAAUGUGUAUUUAAUGUCUUUUCCUAAUCUUAGUUGUUGAAACCGAUUAAAUGUGAUUUGAAAUCUGUACCAGCAUAUAAAUAAAUCAGUUAGAUAUGAUUUGAAAUC